AAUAUUGGACAAUGGGGGCAACCCUGAUCCAGCCAUGCCGCGCGUGUGAAGAAGGUCUUCGGUUUGUAAAGCACUUUAUGGUGGGAGGAAGGGCUUUAGGUUAAUACCCUGAAGUUUUGACUUUACCAACUGAAUAAGUCACGUCUCACUCUACGUCAGCAGCCGAGGUAAUACAGAGGGUGCAAGCGUUAAUCGGAAUUACUGGGCGUAAAGCGCGCGUAGGUGGUUCAGUAAGAUGGGUGUGAAAUCCCCGGGCUUAACCUGGGAACUGCUUUCAUAACUGCUGAGCUAGAGUACGGUAGAGGGUAGUGGAAUUUCCUGUGUAGCGGUGAAAUGCGUAGAUAUAGGAAGGAACACCAGUGGCGAAGGCGACUACCUGGACUGAUACUGACACUGAGGUGCGAAAGCGUGGGGAGCAAACA
rnacentral:rRNA from 1 species